GGUCUGUAGUCUGGAGCCGCUCCGGGUUGGUGGUACCCUGGAGCACACCAGACUCGCAGAAAGAGCAUACGCCGGAGGAAGCUGAGGCAUGACUGCUCGAGAGCCAGCCGUCCCAUGUGCAAUUUUCCUCGGAUAGUUCUAGGUACUGUUGCCACGGCGAUAAUGACUUUCCCAUGUCAUUAUCUAUCCACAACAGUAAGAGAAGCUUUGCAGCCAAGAUAUUGUCUAACAGAUGGAGUGCUUUCUGUUGGACACUAUGUACUGCUACAGAU